rnacentral:tRNA from 1 species
GCCAGGUUAGCUCAGUUAGCUCAGAGCAUGGUGCUAAUAACGCCAAGGUCACAGGUUCAAUCCCUGCUUACUGCA